rnacentral:rRNA from 1 species
AUUGAACGCUGGCGGCAGGCCUAACACAUGCAAGUCGAACGGAUGAAGGGAGCUUGCUCCUGGAUUCAGCGGCGGACGGGUGAGUAAUGCCUAGGAAUCUGCCUGGUAGUGGGGGAUAACGUCCGGAAACGGGCGCUAAUACCGCAUACGUCCUGAGGGAGAAAGUGGGGGAUCUUCGGACCUCACGCUAUCAGAUGAGCCUAGGUCGGAUUAGCUAGUUGGUGGGGUAAAGGCCUACCAAGGCGACGAUCCGUAACUGGUCUGAGAGGAUGAUCAGUCACACUGGAACUGAGACACGGUCCAGACUCCUACGGGAGGCAGCAGUGGGGAAUAUUGGACAAUGGGCGAAAGCCUGAUCCAGCCAUGCCGCGUAUGUGAAGAAGGUCUUCGGAUUGUAAAGCACUUUAAGUUGGGAGGAAGGGCAGUAAGUUAAUACCUUGCUGUUUUGACGUUACCAACAGAAUAAGCACCGGCUAACUUCGUG